rnacentral:rRNA from 1 species
CAAUAGCGUAUACUAAUGUUGUUGCAGUUAAAAAGCUCGUAGUUGAACUUCUGGUAGGAGUGUCCCGGCCUUUUUGUUUUUACAAAUUGUACGCUGUGUGACAUCUCUGGCCAUCCUUCUUCUUUGUUUAAAGAAGAUCUUUCACUGUAAAAAAAUUAGGGUGUUCAAAGCAAAAGUUUCUUUGGAAUAUAUUAGUAUGGGAUGAUAAGAUAGGCUCUAGAUGCUAUUUUGUUGGUUUGCACAUUUAGAGAAUGAUUAACAGGGACAGUUGGGGGUAUUCGUAUUUACAUGUCAGAGGUGAAAUUCUUGGAUUUUGGAAAGACGAACUACUGCGAAAGCAUUUACCAAGGAUGUUUUCAUUAA